UGGUCUUGCACUAGGCACACCACUGUUGCUGCUGCUGCUGUUACUGGUCCUGAUGCUGUUUUUAAUUAUUAUGUCUAAGAAGUCUCCAAAUGGAGAAUUAGAGGACGCAAUGGACGCAGCUGCCUCAAGCUCCCACCACCCUGCUCUCCCCGCUGUCAUGGACUCUUUGCCUCA